rnacentral:rRNA from 1 species
GGUCAAGCUACUAAGGGCUUCCGGUGGAUGCCUUGGCGUCAGUAGGCGAUGAAGGACGUGGUGUAACUGCGAUAAGCUUCGGGUAGGCGUUAGCAGCCUAGGAUCCGGAGAUUUCCGAAUGGGGAAACCCAUCCCGUCUAAUAGCGGGAUAUCGCCGGGUGAAUCAAAUAGCUCGGCGAGGCCAGACCGGGGGAAGUGAAACAACUCAGUACCCCGAGGAAAAGAAAACGAAUCCCGCCUUCGGCGGGACCCCUGCUUCGGCAGGGGGUGAUUCCCUGAGUAGUGGCGAGCGAAACGGGAACAGCCUAAACCUCGCGCGUGCAUAAGCCUGUGUGCGUUGCGUGCGAGGUGUCGUGGGAGCUUGUCGGAUCCCGACACAGCGGGAUCGGGAAGUCAGAAAACGAACCUCUUAGCUAAACGGCGUGGAAACGCCGACCAGAGAAGGUGAUAGUCCUGUAGGCGAAAGGGGGUUCGACUUCCUGGAUAGGAUUUCCCAAGUACCGCGGGACACGUGGAACCCUGCGGGAAUCUGCCCCGACCACGGGGUAAGGCUAAAUACUCACUGGCGACCGAUAGUGAACCAGUACCGUGAGGGAAAGGUGAAAAGAACCCCUGUUAGGGGAGUGAAAUAGUACCUGAAACCGGUAGCCUACAAGCGGUCAGAGGGCUAUGUCCCCAUCUUCGGGUGGGGAAAUGCCUGAUGGCGUACCUUUUGCUUAAUGGGCCGGCGAGUUAUUGCACGUGGCAAGGUUAACACCGUGCGCGGUGGGAGCCGUAGCGAAAGCGAGUGCGAAAUGUGCGUCCGCUCGGCGUGACGAGUUUCUCGUCAUGUUCGGGCAUCAGUCGCGUGCAGUAGACCCGAAGCCGAGUGAUCUACCCAUGGUCAGGGUGAAGUUCCGGUAACACGGGAUGAAGGCCCGAACUGGUGAACGUUGAAAAGUUCUCGGAUGAACUGUGGGUAGGAGUGAAAGGCUAAUCAAACUCGGUGAUAGCUGGUUCUCCUCGAAAUAGCUUUGGGGCUAGCCUCACGUGAAUGGCCAGCGGGGGUAGAGCACUGGAUGGAAUAGGGGGCUUACCGGCCCGCCGAAUCCAACCAAACUCCGAAUACCGCUGGAGUGUAUCGUGGGAGUCAGACGGUGGGGGAUAAGCUUCAUCGUCGAAAGGGAAACAGCCCAGACCGCCAGCUAAGCGUCCCUAAAUGUGGGCUAAGUGAGUAAGGAUGUGAAAUUGCUCAGACAGCUAGGAUGUUGGCUUAGAGGCAGCCAUCAUUUAAAGAGUGCGUAACAGCUCACUAGUCGAGCGAUUUUGCGCCGAAAAUGAUCGGGACUUAAGCCCACUACCGAAGCUGCGGCUCGGUCACGCUGCCCGGCUUUCGAGCCGGCAUUCCAGCGGGCCGGGGGUAGAGGAGCGUUCCAUGCGGAGUGAAGGUAGACCGGGAGGACUGCUGGACUGCAUGGAAGUGAGUAUGCACGGCACGAGUAGCGAUAAUCGCGGUGAGAAUCCGCGACGCCGAAAACCUAAGGGUUCCUGGGGAAGGUUCGUCCGCCCAGGGUUAGUCGGAACCUAAGCCGAGGCCGAAAGGCGUAGGUGAUGGACGGCAGGUUGAAUAUUCCUGCACUGCCUAACGGGUGACAAAGACGCGGAGAAGUGACGCGGGAACGAAGGCCGCCCGAGCGAUUGGAAAUGCUCGGCUGCACCUGACCCCGCCUUCGGGCGGGGAGGGGUGAAAGGACGCUGAGUCUUCGGACAAGGCGGAUCGGCUGGAGCUUCUUGCCAAGAAAUAGCUUCACGCGGACCCGUGGGCAUCCGUACCAAAACCGACACAGGUAGGUGGGAAGAGAAUUCUAAGGCGCCCGAGAGACGCCUCGUCAAGGAACUCGGCAAACUGACCCCGUAACUUCGGAAGAAGGGGUGCUUCCCCGGGUGGUCCUUCCUUGCGGAGGGCUGCGCGGGGGAGUCGCAGUGAAACGGGCCAAGCGACUGUUUACCAAAAACACAAGUCUCUGCUAAGUCGUAAGACGCCGUAUAGAGACUGACACGUGACCAAUGCCGAAAAGUUAAGGGGAUGGGUCAUCCUGCUUGUUCCCCGCCCAAAGCGGGGGACAGGGAGGGGCAGCCUUGAACCGAAGCUCCGGUGAAUGUCGGCCGUAACUAUAACGGUCCUAAGGUAGCGAAAUCCCUUGUCGGGUAAGUUCCGACCCGCACGAAUCGUGUAACGACUUGGCCGCUGUCUCGACGAGGUACUCGGUGAAACUGUAGUUGCGGUGAAGAUGCCGCAUACCCGCGACAAGACGGAAAGACCCCGUGCACCUUUACUAUAGCCUGGCAUUGAGUCUUAGUCCAGUAUGUGUAGGAUAGGUGGGAGGCUAUGAAGUGGCGCCGUCAGGCGCCAUGGAGCCACCGGUGAAAUACCACCCUUACUGUAUUGGGAUCCUAACCCUGUGCUCUGAAUCGAGUCAGGGGACCGUGUCAGGUGGGUAGUUUGACUGGGGCGGUCUCCUCCCAAACUGUAACGGAGGAGUUCGAAGGUUCCCUCAGCACGGUUGGCAAUCGUGCGUAGAGCGCAAAAGUAUAAGGGAGCUUGACUGCGAGACACACAAGUCGAGCAGGUGCGAAAGCAGGAUUUAGUGAUCCAGCGGUGGAAAGUGGAAUCGCCGUUGCUAAACGGAUAAAAGGUACGCCGGGGAUAACAGGCUUAUAGGGCCCAAGAGUUCAUAUCGACGGCCCUGUUUGGCACCUCGAUGUCGGCCCAUCGCAUCCUGGGGCUGAAGAAGGUCCCAAGGGUUUGGCUGUUCGCCAAUUAAAGCGGUACGCGAGCUGGGUUCAGAACGUCGUGAGACAGUUCGGUCCCUAUCUGUCGUGGGCGCAGGAUAGUUGAAGAGACCAGUCCCCAAUACGAGAGGACCGGGAUUGACGGACCAAUGGUGUUCCAGUUGUCUCGCCAGAGGCAUGGCUGGGUAGCUAUGUCCGGAAGGGAUAAGCGCUGAAGGCAUCUAAGCGCCAAGCCUCCUCUAAGAUAAGCUAUCCAUGGUGCGUCGCAAGACGCGCCGAAAGACCCCUCGCAGACUACGAGGUUGAUAGGCCAGGCGUGUAAGGGCGUAUAUCCAAAGGCCUUUAGCUUACUGGUACUAAUCGGUCAAAUGCUUGACCUU